UCCUCCUACGGGGCGCAGCAGUGAGGAAUAUUGGUCAAUGGGCGCGAGCCUGAACCAGCCAAGUCGCGUGAGGGAUGACGGUCCUACGGAUUGUAAACCUCUUUUGUCGGGGAGCAAAGGGCGCCACGUGUGGCGUUUUGCGAGUACCUGAAGAAAAAGCAUCGGCUAACUCCGUGCCAGCAGCCGCGGUAAUACGGAGGAUGCGAGCGUUAUCCGGAUUUAUUGGGUUUAAAGGGUGCGCAGGCGGAAUGUCAAGUCAGCGGUAAAAUUUCGGGGCUCAACCCCGUCGUGCCGUUGAAACUGGC
rnacentral:rRNA from 1 species